GACGAACGCUGGCGGCGUGCCUAAUACAUGCAAGUAGAACGCAGUUGCGAACGGGUGAGUAACGAGGAGGUAACUGCCUGGUAGCGGGGGAUAACUAUUGGAAACGAGAGCUAAUACCGCAUACUACCAGAUGGACCUGCGUUGUAGUAGCUAGUUGGGGGGGGAACGGCGCACGAAGGCAACGAUACAUAGCCGACCUGAGAGGGGGAUCCGCCCCACUUGGACUGGGACCCGGCCCAGACUCCUUCGGGAGGCAGCAGUAGGGAAUCUUCGGCAAUGGACGGAAGUCUGACCGAGCAACGCCGCGUGAGUGAAGAAGGUUUUCGGAUCGUAAAGCUCUGUUGUAAGAGAAGCGGUAUCUUACCAGAAAGGGACGGCUAACUACGUGCCAGCAGCCGCGGUAAUUC
rnacentral:rRNA from 1 species